ensembl:lncRNA
CAGAGCCAACGACCCGGAUCGCCCAGGACCCAGCUGGAGCCACAUGCCCCUACCCGCCCCAUGCCGAAAGGCGACUACAGUCAGAGGCGCAACCUGCUACCCCACCGCAUCCCCACCCCGCCCCCACCCCCUUCCCCGCGCCGCGGCAGGCGCGCAGGAGAGGCGGAGAGAGGCGCUGACAAAUCCGCUGUGGGGGCGGGAGACGAGGGAAGGAGGAGGCCCGGGACUGCGAGGGCUGCGCGAGGCAGGGGCAGCGACAGCGGCGACGCGGAGGGAGAGGAGUUGGAGGAACCGGAGUUCUGGAGACACAGAGGCACACAGGUGAGUGCCUGGAGAUCUGAGCGGGCCCUGCGAGAGGAUCGCCGUGCCCCGGAGGGCUGGGUGCAGCGAGGACCCGGGGCUCGGGGUCCCUCACGGCAGGCGCGGGUCCCUUGCUUGGCUGGAGCAAAGUAAAUUGGACUGGCUGUCCUCCAGUCUCUCCUCUUCUCUCUAAAAGCUGAGAGGUCAGACGGCAUCUCCGGAGUAAGCCUUUUCUAGCGGAAACGCUAGAAUGCUGGAUGGAAUGUGAACUUUAAUUUCUCUGUUAAUUACUCCUCUGCAGGCCGCUUUCUUGGUUCUGUGUAAAGUGAGGAACGAAUAAUUAAAUGAAGCGCAGGGAAGGCACGCCAACAGGUGCUGAGGGGUUAACAAGCGUGGGGCGCAGGGCCAGCUACUGAGGUGCAGCUGAGGUUGACCCCUCACCCCCAGCCGUUGGUCUGGAGCCUGCCCGCGGGUGUAGACAGCGCCAGCUCGGUGUAGGUGUAUAUAGCUGUGUAGAGUGGAUAUUUGCCUAAUUGAACAAGAGUCUUUGGGGUAGCUGUCGGCCUGAGCCACAGCCAGAACCACAGCCAGAGCGACCAGGACUCUUCUCUCCCCUCUCUGGGAUCCACCAGGAAGCGCCUUUCUGGGGUUCAUUUUAAGGAAGCCCCGCCCUGGCACCCAGUGUGGUGUAAAGGUGAUCAUUAGCCAUGGAUGUAUUCAUGAAAGGACUUUCAAAGGCCAAGGAGGGAGUUGUGGCUGCUGCUGAGAAAACCAAGCAGGGUGUGGCAGAAGCAGCGGGGAAGACGAAAGAGGGUGUUCUCUAUGUAGGCUCCAAAACCAAGGAGGGAGUGGUUCAUGGUGUGACGACAGUGGCCGAGAAGACCAAAGAACAGGUGACCCGAAUGUUGGAGGCGCAGUGGUAACAGGGGUGACAGCAGUAGCCCAGAAGACAGUGGAGGGAGCAGGGGAACAUUGCAGCUGCCACUGGAUUCGGUCAAAAAGGACCAGCUGGGAAAGAGUGAAGAAGGAUCCCCUCAGGAAGGAAUUCUGGAAGAUAUGCCUGUGGAUCCUGACAAUGAGGCCUAUGAAAUGCCUUCAGAGGAAGGCUAUCAAGACUACGAACCUGAAGCCUAAGAAACACCUUUGCUCCCAGCAUCUUGAGAUCUGCUGACAGACGUUCCAUCCUGUGCAAGUGCUCGGUUCCGAUAUGCGCAGUCAUGAUGUUUCCUCAGAGUUUUUAUAGUGCAUUUUGAAGUCUUCCGUCAGCAGUGAUUGAAGUUAUCUGUACCUGCCCCACUCAGCAUUUCGGUGCUUCCCUCUCACUGAAGUGAAUUUAUGGUAGCAAGGUCUUCGUGUGCUGUGGAUAUUGUGGCUUCAACUCUAAAUUGUUAAAACAAAUUAAAUACACCUAAGUGACUACCACUUGUUUUUAAAUCUCCACUAUUUUGUUGUUGUUGUUGUUGAGAAGUUGUGAUUUACUCUCAUAUAUUAUACAAUUUUAGGUGUCUUUAAUGAUUCUGUCUAAGAAUAAUGAUAUAUUGUGAAAUUUGUUAAAAUACAUAAUAUAUAAAAAUAUGUGCGCAUGAAUCUAUGCACCUAUAAAUAUUAACUAUGAAAUUUUACUGUUUUGUGAUGUGUUUUAUUAACUUGUGUUUGUAUAUAAAUUGUGAAAAUUAAAAUAAAAUGUUAUCUCAUUACAAAAGUA